AGUGAACGCUGGCGGUAGGCCUAACACAUGCAAGUCGAACGGCAGCACAGUAAGAGCUUGCUCUUACGGGUGGCGAGUGGCGGACGGGUGAGGAAUACAUCGGAGUCUACUUUUUCGUGGGGGAUAACGUAGGGAAACUUACUCUAAUACCGCAUACGACCUACGGGUGAAAGCAGGGGAUCUUCGGACCUUGCGCGAUUGAAUGAGCCGAUGUCGGAUUAGCUAGUUGGCGGGGUAAAGGCCCACCAAGGCGACGAUCCGUAGCUGGUCUGAGAGGAUGAUGAGCCACACUGGAACUGAGACACGGUCCAGACUCCGACGGGAGGCAGCAGUGGGGAAUAUUGGACAAUGGGCGCAAGCCUGAUCCAGCCAUACCGCGUGGGUGAAGAAGGCCUGCGGGUUGUAAAGCCGUUUUGUUGGGAAAGAAAAGCAGCAGGUUAAUACCCCGCUGUUCUGACGGUACCCAAAGAAUAAGCACCGGCUAACUUCGU
rnacentral:rRNA from 1 species